UACAGAGGUCUCAAGCGUUGUUCGGAUUCAUUGGGCGUAAAGCGUGUGUAGGCGGGCGGGCAAGUACCUUGUGAAAUCCCACGGCUCAACCGUGGAACGGCUGGGUAUACUGCCUGUCUUGAGCCAGCUAGGGGCGACCGGAACAGACGGUGGAGCGGUGAAAUGCGUAGAUAUCGUCUGGAACGCCAAAGGUGAAAACAGGUCGCUGGGGCUGAGCUGACGCUGAGACACGAAAGCCAGGGGAGCGAACGGG
rnacentral:rRNA from 1 species